ACAUAACAGUGUAAGACAGCGGAACUCUUGUCCGUGAGUAGCAGAAGAUGGAGUCUCUGAAAGCAGCUAUUCCAGAAAGUGUGAAGCGAGCGAUAGGGGAUAGCAAUGUUGAAGAUCUUCAAAGCACGUGCACUUUUCUUCAUCGCUUCUUUCUCCACUUCGACCCAUUUCACCAGAUUAUCGCUCAACUGGCUGAUCCAAAGUAUGGUCUGUGCGGUAAGAGUAAGGAAGAUGCCUUGAAAUCCAAGCAGCUUGGUAAUGAAUGCUUCUCCAACGCAGAUUAUGCCAAGGCCUUGGACUGCUAUACUCAGGCAUUGCGCAAGGCUCCAUUAGAUGUUGGUGAUAUGAAAAGUAAUCUUGUUGCAACAUUAUAUAUCAAUCGAGCUACUGUAUUGCAUAGAAUGAGUCUUUUAGUAGAAUGCUUGCGGGAUUGCACUCAUGCUCUUCAAAUUUGUCCAAGCUACGCCAAGGCAUGGUACAGGAGAAGUAAGGCAAAUGCUUCAUUAGGAAAUUAUAGAAAUGCAAUUUGCGACCUAAAUGUGGCCAAGAUUCUGGAACCUUCAAUGGGUGGAAAAAGACAAAUAGAAGGUGAACUGAAAAUUCUUUUAGACCAAUGCAAGAGCACAAGUGCGAUGGUACAGAUACAACAUAAGGAGAACAGCUGCAAUACUGUGGGUGAGAUGCCUCAAGUAAAGCUACAGUGUAUCUCCAUUCCUGAUAAAGGAAGAGGCAUGGUCUCAUCAUGUGUCAUUUCACCGGGUUCUUUAGUUCAUUCUGAAGAACCUUAUGCUAUGAUAAUUUUAAAGCAAUGUCGGCAAACCCAUUGCCAUUAUUGCCUGAAUGAUCUACCUGCUGAUAGAGUUCCUUGUUUAUCAUGUUCAAUACCAUUGUAUUGCUCCCACCAAUGCCAGAUACGAGCAGGUGGGCAAAUGUUCAGGAUGUACCCAGAAAAAGAUGACACUUUUAAAAAAAUGCCCAGUGAUCUUGGAGAAUAUGCUUCUGAAGUUAUCCAAAGCAAUGAUUCUGAACAAGAAAUUGAGGAUAUUACUGAACAUAAACAUGAAUGCCGAGGUGUACAUUGGCCUGUGGUACUGCCAUCUGAGAUAGUUUUGGCUGGCCGAAUACUAGCAAGGUUUUUGCUGAAUAGCACGUCUGAUAGUAUUAUAAACUUUGUGGAAAGGCUGGAGCUUUCUCAUUGUUACAAACAUAUGUCAUCUGAAAGCAAAUUGGAUUCACACAUAUAUGCCAUUGUAUUGUUGUAUUGUCUUCAACACUCAUGUGGAACCAUGUUUUCCAUAGACGGAGUCUCCAUAUCACAGGUUGUCAUUAUUAUCUCUCAAAUUAAAGUGAAUUGUAUGACCAUUGUUCGUUUAAAAUCAAUUGAUGCUCAUGGACUAUCAGGUCAUUUUGGACAAUUUCCAUUAAAAUCUGAUGCACAUUCAACUAGUAACGUGGAACAGGUCAGAGUGGGUAAAGCUAUCUAUAAAGCUGCCAGUUUAUUUAACCAUUCUUGCCGACCGAAUGCUCAUGCAUAUUUUCUUUCACGCACUCUUUACCUACGAAUCACACAUGGUGUAGCAGCUGGUUGUCAGCUAGAACUGUCUUAUGGUCCACAGGUUGGGUUGUGGGAUUGUAAAGAUCGCCUUAACUUUCUCAAAGAUGAAUAUGCGUUUCAUUGUCAGUGUAUUGGUUGUUCAGAAGUCAAUGUAUCCGACAUAGUCCUCAAUGCCUUCCAUUGUGUCAAUCCAAAUUGUUCUGGUGCAGUGUUAGAAAGCAGAGUACAUGACUGUGAGCAGCAGAAAAUCAAGCACUUCACUAUUACUGACCUUGUUGAAAAGAAUGAUGACAUUUGUGAAGUAUCUCUUAAUGUCUUCAAACAAAACGGGGCCCAUAUUCAUGGUCAACCUGGAUACUGUUUGAAAUGUGGUUCUUACUGUGAUUUGGAGUCUUCUCAUGCUGCAGUCAGUGAAGCUCUAAUAUGCAUAAAAAGGUUGCAGGAUGCAAAAUCUUCAAAAGAAAUUUCGCGUAUUACUAUUUCUGAUGCUUUGAUAUCUCUUCAAUCACUAAGAUUAAAUUUGCAUGCUUACAACAAGCUUAUUGCGGAGGCAGAAGACAGCAUUGCUCAGGCUUUUUGUUUAGUACGAGAAUUACAAUUAUCUGUUGAUCAUUGCAAAGCUUCUAUCCAGAUUCUGGAAAAGCUAUACGAUACUGAUGAUAUUGUUAUUGCUUACGAACUUGUGAAGCUUUCUUCCAUCCAACUUUCCUUGGAUGAUUCUACUGCUAUGGAAAGCAUAAAUCGAAUAGAUGAUAUCUUCUCACGUUAUUAUGGACGUCAUGCAGACUUGGUGUUCCCUUAUCUUCAAUAUCUUAGGGGAGAAAUUGAGAAAUUUUCAGUGAAGGCCAUCCAAUAAAAUACUUUUACGACAAAAUGUCCUACAGAAUUUGAGUUAUAAUUGUCAAUCACAGGUUAAAUGAUUGGUCAUAUAAUAUGAAAGAUAUACAAUAGUCAAGACCUCAAGAAAGAUUACUCAAAGCUCAUCCAAGCUGUUUGAUAGUCUAGGCAUACCAUGCAUAAAUAAGAACUAGACUUUGAACUAAGGACCGGAGUUCGAAACACAUGAUUGGCACAGGAUGUGAGUCUCAUGGCCUUUAUCAUCUCCGCCCUUCUCCACAUGUUGGCGUAGUCAUGGAGUCACCAUCCCUUCUUCAUGCUCAAUUCGGUCAUCCUAGUCUUGCCAAACUACAACAACUUGUCCCGAGGUUGUCCACAUUAUCCAGUUUGUCGUGUGAGUCUUGUCAGUUAGGGAAGCAUACUCGUAGUUCCUUUCCUCGUAGUGUCUCACAACGGGCGUCGUCCCCCUUUUCAUUGGUUCAUUCUGACAUUUGGGGACCUAGUCGUGUUAAGUCCAUUUUAGGUUUUCAGUAUUUUGUUACCUUUAUUGAUGACUAUUCCAGAUGUACUUGGUUGUUUUUAAUGAAGAAUCGUUCUGAGUUGUUUUCUAUUUUCCAAUCUUUUUUCAAUGAAAUAAAAACACAGUUUGGGGUGUCUAUUCGAAAUUUACGUAGUGAUAAUGGUCGUGAAUACCUUUCUCACCCGUUUAAACAGUUUAUGGCUUCUCAUGGCAUUCUUCACCAAACCUCAUGUGCUUAUACCCCUCAACAAAAUGGGGUGGCUGAGCGCAAGAAUAGACACCUUAUUGAAACAACUCGUACACUUCUGAUUCAUGGUCAAGUACCCUCACGUUUUUGGGGUGAUGCAGUUCUC